UAGGACCACGGAGCCGACUAACAACUGUCCCUAUCUAUUGUACUAUCUAGCGAAACCACUGCCAAGGGAACGGGCUUGGAAAAAUUAAUGGGGAAAGAAGACCCUGUUGAGCUAGACUUUAGUCUGGCACUGUAAGGAGACAUAAAGUGUAGCAUAAAUGGGAAAUGGCAACAUCGCCGGUGAAAUACCACUAUUUUCAUCGUUUCCUUACUUACUCGGUUGAGCGGAGCGCGUGCCGCAAGACCUUUGUAUCUCGGCGGUCACGGUGUUCUAGAGCCAAGCGUGUCAGAGUGGUGUGAUCGGCCAAUCGCCGUUGAUACUCCCGCGUGAUCCGAUUCGAGGACACUGCCAGGCGGGGAGUUUGACUGGGGCGGUACAUCUGUCAAAGAAUAACGCAGGUAUCCUAAGGCCAGCUCAGCGAGGACAGAAACCCCGCGUAGAGCAAAAGGGCAAAAGCUGGCUUGAUCUUGAUGUUCACGCAUAGAGACUGCGAAAGCACGGCUUAUCGAUCCUUUUGGCUUGAAGAGUUUUCAGCAAGAAGUGUCAGAAAAGUUACCACAGGGAUAACUGGCUUGUGGUGGCCAAGCGUUCGCUUAGCGUAGCGACGUCGCUUUUUGAUCCUUCGAUGUCGGCUCUUCCUAUCAUUGCGAAGCAGAAUUCGCCAAGCAUCGGAUUGUUCACCCGCCAACAGGGAACGUGAACUAGGUUUAGAGCGUCGUGAGACAGGUCAGUUUUACCCUACUGAUAACUAGUCAUUGCCAUAGUAAUCCUGCUCAGUACGAGAGGAACCGCAGGUUUGGUUUAUGCACUCGGUCGAGCGACCGAUGGUGCGAAGCUACCAUCCGUGGGAUUAUGCCUGAACGCCUCUAAGGCCGCUAUUUUCUCUAGUCAAAGGUGGCAAUGAUAUCUCUAAGAGUCUCAUGAGUCGAAAGGCUUAAAACAAUGUGAUACUACUAGGCGGCCAGUCCACGGACCGGUCGUCGCACGAGCCUGGUUUGCCGUACGGCGCCAUCGUCCGUUGUUGGGAUUUCACCGCUACGACGGCACGGCGCCUAACGGUCGAACAUGAGUUUCGCGAGUUCGAUGUCGAGACUCGGAAUCGUCUGUAGAUGACUUAAGUACCUGGCGGGGUGUUGUACUCGGUAGAGCAGUUACCAAACUGCGAUCUGUUGAGAUUCAGCCCUCGGCUUAAGGAUUC
rnacentral:ncRNA from 1 species